rnacentral:rRNA from 1 species
UACGUAGGUGGCAAGCGUUGUCCGGAUUUAUUGGGUUUAAAGGGUGCGUAGGUGGGUAGGUAAGUCAGUGGUGAAAUCUUCGAGCUUAACUCGGAAACUGCCAUUGAUACUAUUUAUCUUGAAUACUUUGGAGGUAAGCGGAAUAUGUCAUGUAGCGGUGAAAUGCUUAGAUAUGACAUAGAACACCAAUUGCGAAGGCAGCUUACUACACAGUUAUUGACACUGAGGCACGAAAGCGUGGGGAGCAAACAGG